UACGUAGGGUGCGAGCGUUAAUCGGAAUUACUGGGCGUAAAGCGUGCGCAGGCGGUUAUGCAAGACAGAUGUGAAAUCCCCGGGCUCAACCUGGGACCUGCAUUUGUGACUGCAUAGCUAGAGUACGGUAGAGGGGGAUGGAAUUCCGCGUGUAGCAGUGAAAUGCGUAGAUAUGCGGAGGAACACCGAUGGCGAAGGCGACUUACUGGACUGAUACUGACACUGAGGUGCGAAAGCGUGGGGAGCAAACAGG
rnacentral:rRNA from 1 species